UACGUAGGGCGCAAGCGUUAUCCGGAAUUAUUGGGCGUAAAGAGCUCGUAGGCGGUUUGUCGCGUCUGCCGCGAAAGUCCGGGGCUCAACUCCGGAUCUGCGGUGGGUACGGGCAGACUAGAGUGCAGUAGGGGAGACUGGAAUUCCUGGUGUAGCGGUGAAAUGCGCAGAUAUCAGGAGGAACACCGGUGGCGAAGGCGGGUCUCUGGGCCGUUACUGACGCUGAGGAGCGAAAGCGUGGGGAGCGAACAGG
rnacentral:rRNA from 1 species